GAUGAACGCUAGCGGCAGGCUUAAUACAUGCAAGUCGAGGGGCAGCAGUUUUGUAGCAAUACAGAAGCUGGCGACCGGCAAACGGGUGCGGAACACGUACGCAACCUUCCUUUAACUGGGAGAUAGCCCACCGAAAGGUGGAUUAAUAUCCCAUAGUAUAUUUGAGUGGCAUCACUUAGAUAUUAAAGCUCCGGCGGUUAAAGAUGGGCGUGCGUCUGAUUAGGUAAUUGGCGGGGUAACGGCCCACCAAGCCCACGAUCAGUAGCUGAUGUGAGAGCAUGAUCAGCCACACGGGCACGGAGACACGGGCCCGACUGCUACGGGAGGCAGCAGGAAGGAAGAUUGGUCAAUGGACGAAAGUCGGAACCAGCCAUGCCGCGUGAAGGAUUAAGGUCCUCUGGAUUGUAAACUUCUUUUAUCUGGGACGAAAAAAAGGCGAUUCUUCGUCACUUGACGGUACCAGAUGAAUAAGCACCGGCUAACUCCGUGCCAGCCGCCGCCGUAAAAC
rnacentral:rRNA from 1 species